AUUGAACGCUGGCGGCAGGCUUAACACAUGCAAGUCGAGCGGGGAAGGGUAGCUUGCUACCUGACCUAGCGGCGGACGGGUGAGUAAUGCUUAGGAAUCUGCCUAUUAGUGGGGGACAACAUUCCGAAAGGAAUGCUAAUGCCGCAUACGCCCUACGGGGGAAAGCAGGGGACCUUCGGGCCUUGCGCUAUCAGAUGAGCCUAGGUCGGAUUAGCUAGUUGGUGAGGUAAUGGCUCACCAAGGCGACGAUCCGUAACUGGUCUGAGAGGAUGAUCAGUCACACUGGAACUGAGACACGGUCCAGACUCCUACGGGAGGCAGCAGUGGGGAAUAUUGGACAAUGGGCGAAAGCCUGAUCCAGCCAUGCCGCGUGUGUGAAGAAGGUCUUCGGAUUGUAAAGCACUUUAAGUUGGGAGGAAGGGCAUUAACCUAAUACGUUAGUGUUUUGACGUUACCGACAGAAUAAGCACCGGCUAACUCUGUGCCAGCAGCCGCGGUAAUACAGAGGGUGCAAGCGUUAAUCGGAAUUACUGGGCGUAAAGCGCGCGUAGGUGGUUUGUUAAGUUGGAUGUGAAAUCCCCGGGCUCAACCUGGGAACUGCAUUCAAAACUGACUGACUAGAGUAUGGUAGAGGGUGGUGGAAUUUCCUGUGUAGCGGUGAAAUGCGUAGAUAUAGGAAGGAACACCAGUGGCGAAGGCGACCACCUGGACUAAUACUGACACUGAGGUGCGAAAGCGUGGGGAGCAAACAGG
rnacentral:rRNA from 1 species